rnacentral:rRNA from 1 species
UACGGAGGGUGCUAGCGUUGUUCGGAAUUACUGGGCGUAAAGCGCGUGUAGGCGGCUAGGCAAGUCGGAUGUGAAAGCCCCGGGCUCAACCCUGGAACGGCAUCCGAAACUAUCUGGCUAGAGUCCUGGAGAGGAAGGCAGAAUUCCCGGUGUAGGGGUGAAAUCCGUAGAUACCGGGAGGAAUACCAGUAGCGAAGGCGGCUCACUGGCUCGGUACUGACGCUGAGGUGCGAAAGCGUGGGUAGCAAACAGG